GGCCACAGUCACUGCCCUGGAUGUAUCUGACUUCCAAGGUUAAGCAGGGCUUGGCCUGGACAAUACUUGGAUAGAUGACCACCUGAGUACAGCAGGUCCUGUGGCUU
rnacentral:rRNA from 1 species